rnacentral:piRNA from 1 species
UUGAAAACUGGGCUUUUUAAGAACAACCC